rnacentral:rRNA from 1 species
CCUACGGGGGGCUGCAGUGGGGAAUAUUGGACAAUGGGGGGAACCCUGAUCCAGCCAUGCCGCGUGUGUGAAGAAGGCCCUCGGGUCGUAAAGCACUUUCAGUGAGGAAGAACGCCUGGUGGUUAAUACCCAUCAGGAAAGACAUCACUCACAGAAGAAGCACCGGCUAACUCCGUGCCAGCAGCCGCGGUAAUACGGAGGGUGCGAGCGUUAAUCGGAAUUACUGGGCGUAAAGCGCGCGUAGGUGGCUUGAUAAGCCGGUUGUGAAAGCCCCGGGCUCAACCUGGGAACGGCAUCCGGAACUGUCAAGCUAGAGUGCAGGAGAGGAAAGUAGAAUUCCCGGUGUAGCGGUGAAAUGCGUAGAGAUCGGGAGGAAUACCAGUGGCGAAGGCGGCCUUCUGGACUGACACUGACACUGAGGUGCGAAAGCGUGGGUAGCAAACAGGAUUAGAUACCCCAGUAGUC